GGCCUCGUAGCUCAGCUGAUAGAGUGUUCGCUGUAAAGAAAACGUAGGUGGCGUCCAUGGGUGGGUUCGAAUCCCACCGAAGCUA
rnacentral:tRNA from 1 species